GUCGACUGCAGCUCUGUCUAAAGGAAGAGCUCCUCGGGGUCUUCACCAGGACCUGGUGGGCGCACCCCAGGUUAGGAGAGCCGCAGUCCAGGUCUGGCGUCCUGACCACUCCACUUCAGUCCUGUGUCCUCAGAGGUGUCCUAGGGCUCCCUGUGUGCAGGCUGUUCCAGAUGCCCCUCACGCCAGGCCUGUACCCUGGUGGCUCAGCGAGCAGGGCGGGAGGCACGCGGGCUGACCCCUCUCCCACUCCCAGGCCGUGGCUGCUUCUCUGCCCAGCGGCCCUGCAUCUUCUCUCUGGGGUCUCAGCUCGUCCUCUGUGGCCUUCAGGGCUCGAAGCCCACUGUGAGUCCCCCUGACGUGACCACACCACUUCCUAGACCUGCUGGGCGUGCCCCCUGCCGCUGCUAGGACACCACUUUUUGGAGAGAGCGUCUUUGUUUGUCUGGGGGACUCUGCCCCUUCGCACCCUCGGCCUCUGUUCGUCAACAGACAGACCCACUCUCGGCUCCCACACUCGCCCUAAAACUGAGCUGUCACCUAGACAAGGCCCUCCUGAAGGCAGGAGUGGGGCUCAGUGAUGGCCGAGUCCUGGGCGGGAGCUUCCAGGACCACUGAGAAGCAGGCACUUUCUUUUCACCAGAGAAGGAAACACCUGGGGCUGUUCCUGCCGCCAGGAAGCUCAAGCCUCUGUCACCCAAAGCAGAAUCACCAACCAGGGAGGCUGAGUCCUGGGAAACGGUUGAGCCCCUGGAUGCAGCCGUGCCUGAGUCCUGCAUCCAACUCCAAGUUCUCUCCAUUACGUCAGCCAAUAAAGU
rnacentral:lncRNA from 1 species